UUGAUUGAGAGUUUGAUCCUGGCUCAGGACGAACGCUGGCGGCGCGCCUAAUGCAUGCAAGUCGAACGAACGAACCCUCUUCGGAGGAUUAGUUAGUGGCAGACGGCUGAGUAACGCGUAAGUAACCUACCCACUGGCGGGGGACAACCCGGAGAAAUUCGAGCUAAUACCGCAUAUGAUUAUCUGCUGAUGGCGGAUAAUUAAAGGCUUCGGCCACCAGUGGAUGGACUUGCGUCCCAUCAGGUAGUUGGUGAGGUAACGGCCCACCAAGCCUACGACGGGUAGCCGGUGUGAGAGCACGACCGGCCAGAGGGGGACUGAGACACGGCCCCCACUCCUACGGGAGGCAGCAGCAGGGAAUCUUGCGCAAUGGGC
rnacentral:rRNA from 1 species